rnacentral:rRNA from 1 species
UACGUAGGGAGCAAGCGUUGUCCGGAAUCAUUGGGCGUAAAGCGCGCGUAGGCGGCCCGAUAAGUCCGCUGUGAAAGUCAACGGCUCAACUGUUGGAUGCCGGUGGAUACUGUCGGGCUAGAGUACGGAAGAGGCAAGUGGAAUUCCUGGUGUAGCGGUGGAAUGCGCAGAUAUCAGGAGGAACACCUAUAGCGAAGGCAGCUUGCUGGGACGUUACUGACGCUAAGGCGCGAAAGCGUGGGGAGCAAACAGG